rnacentral:rRNA from 1 species
UGCAGUCGAGCGAGAAGCUCCUUCGGGAGUGAGUAAAGCGGCGAACGGNNNNNNNACACGUGGGCAACCUGCCCUAAGGAGCGGGACAACCCGGGGAAACCCGGGCUAAUACCGCAUGAUCCGCAUCGGCAUAAGUCGAUGUGGCAAAUGGUAGCUUCGGCCUCCGCCUUGGGAUGGGCCCGCGCCGCAUUAGCUAGUUGGUGAGGUAACGGCUCACCAAGGCAACGAUGCGUAGCUGGUCUGAGAGGACGAUCAGCCACACUGGGACUGAGACACGGCCCAGACUCCUACGGGAGGCAGCAGUGGGGAAUCUUGCGCAAUGGGCGAAAGCCUGACGCAGCAACGCCGCGUGAGGGAAGACGGCUUUCGGGUUGUAAACCUCUUUCAGGAGGGACGAAGCUUCCAGGGUUAAUAGCCCAUGGGGUGACGGUACCUCCAGAAGAAGCCCCGGCUAACUACGUGCCAGCAGCCGCGGUAAUACGUAGGGGGCGAGCGUUGUCCGGAAUCAUUGGGCGUAAAGCGCGUGUAGGCGGCUUGNNAAGUCUGGUGUGAAAUCUUGGGGCUCAACUCCNAGCCUGCACCGGANNUGCCUUGNUUGAGUCCGGGNGGGGAGAGCGGAAUUCCUAGUGUAGCGNUGAA